UACAGAGGUGGCAAGCGUUGUUCGGAUUUACUGGGCGUAAAGGGUGCGUAGGCGGUUUUGUGUGUCGGGCGUGAAACUCUGCUGCUCAAUGGCAGAACUGCGUUCGAAACUGCAAAGCUUGAGUGCAGGAGAGGAAAGCGGAAUUCUUGGUGUAGCGGUGGAAUGCGUUGAUAUCAAGAGGAACACCGGUGGCGAAGGCGGCUUUCUGGAAUGCAACUGACGCUGAGGCACGAAAGUUGGGGGAG
rnacentral:rRNA from 1 species